rnacentral:misc_RNA from 1 species
GUAGGUGAACCUGCGGAAGGAUCAUUAAAGAAUUUGGUAAUCGUCGGUUGUCUCACGACGACUGACUGCCCCUUCUAUCCAUAACACCUGUGCACUGUUGGAUGCUUGCAUCCACUUUUAAACUAAACAUUAUUGUAACAAAUGUAGUCUUAUUAUAACAUAAUAAAACUUUUAACAACGGAUCUCUCGGCUCUC